rnacentral:rRNA from 1 species
GAUUGAACGCUGGCGGCAUGCUUUACACAUGCAAGUCGAACGGUAACAGGCCGCAAGGUGCUGACGAGUGGCGAACGGGUGAGUAAUGCAUCGGAACGUGCCCAGUCGUGGGGGAUAACGCAGCGAAAGCUGUGCUAAUACCGCAUACGAUCCAUGGAUGAAAGCGGGGGACCGAAAGGCCUCGCGCGAUUGGAGCGGCCGAUGUCAGAUUAGCUAGUUGGUGGGGUAAAGGCCCACCAAGGCGACGAUCUGUAGCUGGUCUGAGAGGACGACCAGCCACACUGGAACUGAGACACGGUCCAGACUCCUACGGGAGCAGCAGUGGGGAAUUUGGACAAGUGGGGGAAACCCUGA